GAAGAAUACUGUUCGCCGCAGGCAGUUUUAAAACAGUCUUUACGAACCAGGGUCUGUGACGUCAUCCUUUGAGGCGUCUUACCAGGUACUUUCGCAGCAGGCGAUACCUGUUCGGCAAAUGCAAGAAAACAUGAGCAGGUUCGCACGGAAGGGUCUCUUGAGAGCAAUAAAGGGUCAACUGAAAAGCCGAACAGCAUCGGAAGAUAUAAAAAAAAAGGGAGCACGCUCAAAAUGUGAAAGACAG